CCUACGGGUGGCAGCAGUGAGGAAUAUUGGUCAAUGGACGAGAGUCUGAACCAGCCAAGUAGCGUGAAGGAUGACUGCCCUAUGGGUUGUAAACUUCUUUUAUAUGGGAAUAAAACGUUCCACGUGUGGGAUUUUGUAUGUACCAUAUGAAUAAGGAUCGGCUAACUCCGUGCCAGCAGCCGCGGUAAUACGGAGGAUGCGAGCGUUAUCCGGAUUUAUUGGGUUUAAAGGGAGUGUAGGGGGAUUGUUAAGUCAGUUGUGAAAGUGUGCGGCUCAACCGUAAAAUUGCAGUUGAAACUGGCAGUCUUGAGUGCAGUAGAGGGAGGCGGAAUUCGUGGUGUAGCGGUGAAAUGCUUAGAUAUCACGAAGAACUCCGAUUGCGAAGGCAGUUCACUGGACUGCAACUGACACUGAGGCACGAAAGUGUGGGUAUCAAACAGGAUUAGAUACCCCAGUAGUC
rnacentral:rRNA from 1 species